rnacentral:rRNA from 1 species
GGGUUAAGUCCGUAACGAGCGCAACCCUGUCCUUAGUUACCAGCACGUUAUGUGGGCACUCUAAGGAGACUGCCGGUGGACAAACCGGAGGAAGGUGGGGAUGACGUCAAGUCAUCAUGGCCCUUACGGCCUGGGCUACACACGUGCUACAAUGGUCGGUACAAAGGGUUGCCAAGCCGCGAGGUGGAGCUAAUCCCAUAAAACCGAUCGUAGUCCGGAUCGCAGUCUGCAACUCGACUGCGUGAAGUCGGAAUCGCUAGUAAUCGUGAAUCAGAAUGUCACGGUGAAUACGUUCCCGGGCCUU